CCUACGGGUGACAGCAGUGGGGAAUAUUGGGCAAUGGGCGCAAGCCUGACCCAGCAACGCCGCGUGAAGGAAGAAGGCUUUCGGGUUGUAAACUUCUUUCAGGAGGGAAGAGCAGAAGACGGUAACUCUUGAACAAGCCACGGCUAACUACGUGCCAGCAGCCGGGGUAAUACGUAGGUGGCAAGCGUUGUCCGGAUUUACUGGGUGUAAAGGGCGGGUAGCCGGGCUGAUAAGUCAGAUGUGAAAUUCCGGGGCUCAACCCCGGACCUGCAUUUGAAACUGUUGGGCUUGAGUAUCGGAGAGGCAGGCGGAAUUCCUAGUGUAGCGGUGAAAUGCGUAGAUAUUAGGAGGAACACCAGUGGCGAAGGCGGCCUGCUGGACGACAACUGACGGUGAGGCGCGAAAGCGUGGGGAGCAAACAGGAUUAGAUACCCCUGUAGUC
rnacentral:rRNA from 1 species